rnacentral:pre_miRNA from 1 species
GAGACACCCCUAUAGAGCAAGACUUGCUUCAAUGUGGCUUUGGUGCUCACUGAGUCUGCUCCUUGAGUGUGUCACU